GUUGUACUUCUCUCUGCCCAGCAAGUCCAGAGGUUUGGUUGGCUUUGAUGGGGCUUCAGCUGAGUCUGAGGUGAUUGGUGGAGCUCCUGGUUUAGAGAGCCUGUCACACAGCUACCCCAGAGGUCCCAUACCUUGCAGCCCUUAUGACCAUCCUGUUUGCCCCAGGUGCUGCUGCACGAGGAGGGGGAUGAUUCUGGUUUUGUCAGUCUGUCUCGGCUUGGCCCCUGCCUGAGGGACAAGGACCUGGAGAUGGAGGAGCUGAUACUGCAGGAUGAGACACUGCUGGGGACCAUGCAGAGCUACAUGGAUGCCUCCCUCAUCUCCCUCAUCGAGGAUUUUGGGAGCCUUGGGGAGAGCAGGUUAUCUCUGGAGGACCAGAAUGAAGUGUCGCUGCUCACAGCUCUGACAGAAAUUUUGGACAAUGCAGAUUCCGAGAACCUGUCUCCGUUUGACAGCAUUCCUGACUCAGAACUGCUUGUGUCACCUCGGGAGGGCUCCUCUCUACACAAGCUGCUCACCCUUUCCCGGACACCCCCGGAACGUGACCUCAUCACCCCGGUUGACCCAUUGGGGCCCAGCACAGGCAGUAGUAGAGUGAGUGGGGUUGAGAUGUCUCUCUCAGAUCCUCCUUGGGACUUCUCUCCACCUUCCUUCUUAGAGACCUCAUCCCCUAAGCUUCCUAGCUGGAGACCCCCAAGAUCAAGAGCCCGCCGGGGCCAGUCGCCUCCUCCCCAGCAGCGUAGUGAUGGGGAAGAAGAGGAGGAGGUGGCCAGCUUCAGCGGCCAGUUGCUUGCUGGGGAGCUCGACAACUCUGUGAGCAGUAUCCCAGACUUCCCUAUGCACCUGGCCUGCCCCGAGGAGGAAGAUAAAACUGCAGCAGCAGAGAUGGCAGUGCAGACAGCUGGUGAUGAGAGUAUCUCCUCCUUGAGUGAGCUGGUGCGGGCCAUGCAUCCAUACUGCCUGCCCAGUCUCACUCAGCUGACAUCACUCGAGGAUGAGCUUCAGGAGCAGCCGGAUGAUUUGACACUGCCUGAGGACUGUGUGGUGCUAGAGAUUGUGGGCCAGGCAGCCACAGCUGGUAAUGACCUGGAGAUUCCAGUUGUGGUACGGCAGAUCCCUGCUGGGCCCCAGCCUGUGCUCCUGGAUGACUCGCUAGAGGCCAGUCCAGCUUUGAAGCUUCUCAUGCCUACGCUAGAGUCGGAGACAGAGGCUCCUGUGCUCAAGGAAGACCUCUGCCCUGAGAAAGAGGGGUUGUCAGUGGACUCCGAGGAAAAACUGGAGUCAGUCUGCUUGUUGGACCCCAGGGAGGUCAUGGAGCCAGUGAUGCCCAAGGGGCCUCAGAACCCACUGGCCAACACAAUGCUGAGCUCCCAGAGAGCUCGAAAGGGCAGGAAGAAGAAGAGCAAAGAGCAGCCAGCAGCCUGUGCAGAAGGCUAUGCCAGGAGACUGAGGUCAGCUUCUCGUGGGCAGUCUACCAUGGCUACAGAGGUGACCUCUCAGGCAGGAAACUUGCCUCAGGAGGAACUUCCAAGAGAGGUUGGGCCUCCUCGUAGUAGAGGGAAGCCCCGGGCUUGGGCUCGGGCCUGGGCAGCUGCCUUGGAGAAACCUAGCUCUGGGAACUUGGAGAGUAGUGCUGGGCAAGCUAGUCCUGACAAAGAAGAUCCUCUAGACCUUUACUCCAAUCUGGUUGACAGCAUCCAAGCCAACCUUGUUCCAACCCAUGUCUCUGGUCUAACAGACUCCAUGCCACUUGACUCUGUUGAAACCAAUCCUACUGCAGUUAAUCCUGUUCUAGCUGAUCCUGUACCUGUUGAUCCUGCAUUGGGUGACCAUGAUUCAGCAAACUCAGAGCUGGUGGACCCUCUCACAGCUGACCCAGUGCUGAUUGACCCAGUCUUGGCUGACUCAACAGAAAUUGACUCUACAGUGGUUGUUCCCAUCUCAGAUGACUUGCCACCAGGUGACCCUGUCCCAGUGAGCUCGGCACCAGUUGACUCUGUUCCCAGUGACCUGGGUCCAGUUGAUUCUGUGCUAGUUAAGUCUAGGCCUUCUGAUCCCAGACGUGGUGCCAUGUCAUCAGUCCAGGGGAGUCCAGCUCCCCAGAUCCUUCCAGAGUCAGAGUCCUUGGACUCCCUAAAGGCCAUCAUCCCUGAAGUCCAGGAGGUUGUGGGUCCUCUGAAGGUAGAAAGUGGUACCAGUGCUACAACCCAGGAAGCCAGACCUCGGCCUCUUAGCCUAUCAGAGUACCGGCGACGAAGGCAGCAGCGCCAAGCAGAGGCAGAAGAGAGAAGUCCCCAGCCCCCAGCUGGGAAGUGGCCCAGUCUCCCAGAGACCCCCACAGGACUAGCAGACAUCCCUUGUCUUGUCAUCCCACCAGCCCCAUCCAAGAAGAUAGGUCUGCAGAGAAGCCCUGAGGUUUCUCCUGAGGCUUGCUCUGUGCCUGUGGGUCACAGUCCUGCUUCUCCUGGUCCUGAACCACCUGCAAGCAAAGCUAUGGCCUCAACUCCCACAGAGCAGCUGCCAUCCCAAGAGCUGCCACUACCAGCAAGACCCCCACCUCCUACUGUGCAGCCCAUGCCUCCCACAAUGCCCACUGCUUUGCCUUUCCCCCCAGGUGGGCUAGGCAUGACCCCCAUGCUGCCCCUUCCUACAAGCAGGCAAGGGAUCCCCAGUCUGCCCCCACCACCGUUGCAGCCUCCCAGUCUUCCAGUGUCUAUGGGCCCAGUGCCACGUGAUCCCUAUACUCACUAUGCUCCUGUACCACCUUGGCCUUGUUAUCCCCCUGUGUCCCCUUCUGGCUAUCCUUGUCUGCCCCCCCCACCAACAGUGCCCCUAGUAUCUGGUACUCCUGGCACCUAUGCUGUGCCCCCCACUUGCAAUGUGCCUUGGGUACCCCCUCCAGCCCCAAUCCCACCUUACAGCUCCAGCUGUGCCUAUGGGCCCUUGGGAUGGGGCCCAGGGCUGCAACACCCUCCAUUCUGGCCUACUGUGCCACCACCUCCUUUGCCUCUAGCAUCUGUUGGGAGAGCUGCUCCUCCACCCAAGGUGGAGCCCAGUGGCAUUCCAGCUGGCCCUUCUGAAAGUGUACUUCCUGGGCCAGUGGCUCCUCCCCUCAGUCUUGGGUCAGCUAGCCAGGGAGCUCCACAGGUGGAGCCCACCAAGGUGGAGGUCAAAUCAGUGCCUGCGUCUCCCCAUCUGAAACACAAGGUGUCCUCCCCAGUACAAAGCCCCCAGAUGAAGGCUCCACCAUGUCUGUCUGCUGAGAGUGUGGCUGUUGAGGAGCCUGUAUCAGAGAGGCUAAAUCCUGAGACCCAGGAGACCAGGCCCAGAGAGAAGCCCCCCUCUCCUGUUGCCAAGGCUGUUCCCACACCCACACCAACAUCAAAGCAGAGCACUGUAACUAAGCUGCCUGCUGUCCACCCAGCCCGUCUAAGGAAGCUCUCCUUCUUGCCUACCCCACGUACUCAAGGCCCUGAGGAUGUGGUACAGGCUUUCAUCAGUGAGAUUGGAAUUGAGGCGUCGGACCUGUCCAGUCUACUGGAGCAGUUCGAGAAAUCUGAAGCCAAAAAGGAAUGCCCUCCCCCGGCUCCUGCUGACAGCCUGGCUAUAGGAAACUCAGGCAGCGUUGACACUCCCCAGGAGAAGAGGCCCCUAGACCGGUUACAAGCCCCAGAACUGGCCAACGUGGCAGGGCUCACCCCACCAGCUACCCCUCCCCACCAAUUAUGGAAGCCCCUGGCUGCUGUCUCACUGCUGGCCAAAGCCAGAUCUCCUAAGUCUACCGCCCAGGAGGGAACCCUGAAGCCUGAAGGAGUUACAGAGGCCAAACAUCCAGCUGCAGCCCGCCUCCAAGAAGGGGUCCAUGGCCCUAGUCCAGUCCAUGUGGGCUCUGGGGACCAUGAUUAUUGUGUCCGGAGCAGGACUCCCCCCAAAAAGAUGCCUGCCUUAGUCAUUCCAGAGGUGGGCUCCCGAUGGAACGUCAAACGCCAUCAGGACAUCACCAUCAAACCUGUCUUGUCUCUGGGCCCAGUCAUCCCCCUCCCCCCACGCACAGCUGCCUCACAGGAGCCACUUGAUCACAGGACUAGCAGUGAGCAGGCAGAUCCCCCAGCUCCUUGCCUCGCCCCAUCUGCCUUGCUGUCCCCUGAGGCCUCGCCUUGCCGGAAUGACAUGAACACUAGGACUCCCCUCGAGCCCUCAGCCAAGCAGCGGUCAGUGCGCUGUUACCGGAAAGCCUGCAGGUCAGCCAGCCCCCCAAGCCGGGGCUGGCAGGGCUGUCGGGGCCGCAGCAGCCGUUCUGUCAGCUCUGGGUCCAACCGGACCAGCGAAGCAUCUUCCUCUUCAUCUUCAUCGUCGUCUUCCUCAUCCCGGUCCCGGUCCAGGUCCCUCUCCCCCCCACACAAGAGGUGGCGAAGAUCCAGUUGCAGUUCCUCUGGACGUUCCCGAAGAUGCUCUUCUUCCUCCUCCUCUUCAUCUUCCUCCUCAUCUUCAUCUUCCUCAUCCAGUUCCAGAAGCCGGUCCCGCUCCCCAUCACCCCGACGGAGAAGUGACAGGAGGCGGCGGUGAGUACGGCUCUUACCGUUCACAUGACCAUUACCAAAGGCAGAGAGUGCUGCAGAAGGAGCGUGCAAUAGAGGAGAGAAGAGUGGUCUUCAUUGGGAAGAUACCUGGCCGCAUGACUAGGUCAGAACUGAAACAGAGGUUCUCUGUUUUCGGAGAGAUUGAGGAGUGCACUAUCCACUUCCGUGUCCAAGGUGACAACUACGGCUUCGUCACUUACCGCUAUGCUGAGGAGGCAUUUGCAGCCAUUGAGAGUGGCCACAAGCUGAGGCAGGCAGAUGAACAACCCUUUGAUCUCUGCUUUGGGGGCCGCAGGCAGUUCUGCAAGAGAAGCUAUUCUGAUCUUGACUCCAACUGGGAAGACUUUGACCCUGCUCCUGUAAAGAGCAAAUUUGAUUCUCUUGACUUUGACACAUUGUUGAAACAGGCCCAGAAGAACCUCAGGAGGUAACCCUGGGCCCUUCUCCCCCUUCCCUUUUUCUUUGGAGGUGUCCAACCUCCUCCACCCCCCCUCCCCCACUUUAGGGGAGAGAGCUGCUAGUGAGGAAAUGACUGUUUUAUAAAGAAAUGGAAAAAAGUGAAAUAAAAAAUGUGUUAAAUCAGAUUUUUUUAAAGGGUUAUUCAUUUUUUAUAACAGGCAUUGAAAUAAGUUAACUUGCAUUCCUAUGUUCUGAUGGGGCUGAGGGGUACCCCAGUGUUUGGAAGAUCUAAGUUACUAUGCAGACUAAUAAACAUGAACUAGAGAGAA